CCCCCGGGACGAGCCUUGCUGCAAGCCAAAAGUAAACACAGCAAAGACUGACGAACGUGACGUUACACUGGUAUUUAUUUCAAAUUACCGGAAGUAAAUAUUCUAAGCAGGAAGAAAAACAUAACGUAACAUAACGUAAAACGCUUACAUAAAAUAUAGGAGUCCUCGACUCAAAAUGCUUAUAAUCAAACACUCUUAUAAAUAAACAAAUCUAGACAUAUCAAUUCUUCCAGUUAAGAACUCAUAAAUGAACACUUUUGGGUUCACGCUUAAAAUAUUGACCCAACGGUAACGUUCUGAACAAUGCAUGACAAAGUUUCGCCAUAUAUGACG
rnacentral:lncRNA from 1 species